rnacentral:lncRNA from 1 species
AUCUCUGCGUGACUUCCGCCAGCGUUUAGAGCGUUUUCGGGGUCCGAGUUGAAGAGCAAAACCAAGUGAAGGAAACUUCACUAAGUUCAGGGUGACAAGGGAGGAAGUACAGAGUGAACUAUUGGCAUGGCUCAAUCCAUUGACCUGUUUUGGUUCCUGAUGAAGUUUUGUUAAUUUAAAUGAGAAAAAUAAGGACAGUGAAAAACAGAGCGCUUAAAAAGCACUGUCUGGAUAUCUUCAGAGGGAAAAAGGAGAAAGUUAACUGAAUUGGUGACACUUCGGGUCUCUCACAGAGGAAGAGACCACCAAACCAACAGAAGCCACCAGGACAGCACACAGCCAUUCCAAAAUUCCAGACCAGGAUCAUUCCAGAAAAGCCUUACAUCUCAGUCCAGUAUAUGGAUGGUUUUGUAAGAUGACCUAUGAUUUUUCUGUUCCUCCUUCCUGCCCCUAACUUCAGAGAAACAGACCUAGAAAGAGGGAAGGAAGGAGUGAAAAAGCGUGCCAUACUUUAUCUUCUCCCCUUCUGUUUUAAACUAGACAAAUCUAUAUUUUAAUUAUUAUAAGUAACCAGAAAGUUAUAUGGUCUGGCCAGGAUGGCAUUAAAGAAAAUGAGAGAGAAAAGUUUAAGAUAGCAUGGUUGGAGACAAUAAGUAGAAGAAACCAAGUAGUUCAAGUUUUAUAACGCUCUAUCUUAUAAACACUCUUGAACCAAUAAUAAUGCUAUUACUGAAAUGCUACACACAAUUGAAGACUACUUGUUAGACCAAGACCUUAAAAACUUCUUUACUGAUUAUUCCCAAUGUGUGGCCCUGGUAAUCAUUGAAGAAUCAUUGUAUUGACUAUUAAACAUCUAGGGAUCACCUGUUUAAAUCAAGUUAACAAAACACUUACUUAACAAAUAUAUAUUGAUUGCCUAUUAUGAAGUAGAUGCUAUAGUAGGUGCUGGCAGUAUAAACAUGAAAAGAGACAUUGUGUGUGCAUAUUAAUAUACAGCAAAUUAAACUUCAGCCAGAGAAGUACUUUACUAGAAGGUUGAUAGAAGUGUGGUGGUAGCUUGCAGGAGGAAGCAGUUAGCCUCCUUGGAAAUGAGUAAUCUUCACAGAAAGUAUGACAUUUGACCUGCUUCUUGGAGAAGAUGCAUAUUAAACCUAUUAAAUCCAUGUCAGCCUUUAACACCUUUGCUCAGAUUAGUUUCUCGAGCUGUUUUCCCACCUGGUGAGCAGAUAAGAGCAGGACAGGAAAGUUCUGAUGAAAGGAAGAAGUGCCAGAGAGAGAAGGCCUUGCAAGCAAAGAAGCCUGACAGGCAGGAGCCCCUGAGUAUCCUAAGGAGAAGUACCAGCGAUUUAGGGAAGAAAAUUGCUGCCAGAAGUGCAGGAAAUAAAAAUUCUGACCUAGAUCAUUUUA